rnacentral:lncRNA from 1 species
AGAUGGGAGACUAGUGCCUGCAACCGAUGAAGAAAUUUUGGAGGUCAAUGACGCGGAUAUGCAUAUUGUAUCAGAUGCUUGUCAGACUGUAGACUACCUUGCAACCGAUGAAGAAAAUUUGGAGGUCAGUCAGAAAAAUAUGCAUAUUGCAUCAGAUGCUUGUCAGACUGUAGGCUACCUAGCAACCGAUGAAGAAAAUUUGGAGGCCAAUGAGACAAAUAUGCAUAUUGCAUCAGAUGCUUGUCAGACUGUAGGCUACCUAGCAACCGAUGAAGAAAAUUUGGAGGCCAAUGAGACAAAUAUGCAUAUUGCAUCAGAUUCUUGUGAGACUGUAUGCUACCUUUCAGCUGAAGGGAUGCCUUCUGGGUUGUCCCAGUUUGAAAAUUCAGAAGGUUCGGUUCCCAUAAGUCUUUAUAUGUUGAGACUCUCUUACUUAAAAUCACAUUCAUACCGAUUUCUGUUAUUGAUAUAUGCCCAAAUGUGCAUAUGUCUCUGCGGUUUCCACAUCUGCUGUCUUAUAUUCAGUUAUUGUUUACUUACAUAUGGGUUUAUCUUAUUCUUUCAGCUAUGAAUUCAGGGUUAUUGCAGUCUGAUAAUGUGCCACCGUAUAUAGACCAGGUAAAGUUUCGACCUGAGGUCAGUCCCACUUCACAAAUGUUGAAAGUAGUAAUUUCUGACAAACUAUCACUUCUACAAUUCGAUUCUUAAUGUUUUAAUGUCAAAGUUUUCAAAAGAAAUCUGCCGCAAGUCAGAUGGCCAUACUCCUAAGAUUUUGUUUCAUCUUUGAGAUCUUUGCAGUAUAAUGGGGAGAUGCUGCAAAAGGUCGAACAGGAUGAGAGGCUUGGCAAUGUACAUGGAUCUCAGAUGCCUUCUACCCCUUCAGAUGCUAACAUCCAGUGUUCUAAUGAAG